CUACGGCUAUAUCCUGUUGAAACACUAGUUCUCAUCUGAUCACCAAAGGUAAGAAUUGUUGAGCCUAGUCAGUAUCUAGAUGAGUGACUGUUCAGGACUAUCAGGUGCUGUAAG